CCAGACUCCUACGGGAGGCAGCAGUGGGGAAUAUUGCACAAUGGGGGAAACCCUGAUGCGGCGACGCCGCGUGAGUGAAGAAGUAUUUCGGUAUGUAAAGCUCUAUCAGCAGGAACGAGACAAGACGGUACCUGACUAAGAAGCCCCGGCUAACUACGUGCCAGCAGCCGCGGUAAUACGUAGGGGGCAAGCGUUAUCCGGAAUCACUGGGUGUAAAGGGAGCGUAGACGGCUGAGCAAGCCUGAAGUGAAAGGCGGGGGCCCAACCCCCGGACUGCUCUUGGAACUGCGUGGCUGGAGUGCAGGAGGGGCAGGCGGAAUUCCUGGUGUAGCGGUGAAAUGCGUAGAUAUCAGGAGGAACACCGGUGGCGAAGGCGGCCUGCUGGACUGCAACUGACGUUGAGGCCCGAAAGCGUGGGGAGCAAACAGGAUUAGAUACCCGUGUAU
rnacentral:rRNA from 1 species